rnacentral:snoRNA from 1 species
AUGUAAGGUGUGUACUUGCUGUAAAUACGGACGUAAAAGUGUUACGUAGGCUUUAGGUGGGCAUGCGAGGAGUAUUUGGAUGCCCAUAAAGAAACCUGCGGAUAUGG